CAAUAGCGUAUAUUAAAGUUGUUGCAGUUAAAAAGCUCGUAGUUGGAUUUCUGGUAGGAGUGACCGUUCCGAACUUGAUUGUUCGUGUAUUGUGUUUUCUCCAGCCAUCCUUGUGGAGAACUUUUCUUGCAUUAAUUUGUAGGGAUUGGGACCCGCAUCGUUUACUGUGAAAAAAUUAGAGUGUUUAAAGCAGGCAAUCGCUUGAAUACAUUAGCAUGGAAUAAUAAGAUAGGACUUUGGUACUAUCUUGUUGGUUUGCAUACCAAAUUAAUGAUCAACAGGAACAGUUUGAGGAUAUUCGUAUGAACAUGUCAGAGGUGAAAUUCUUGGAUUUUGAUCAGACGAACUACUGCGAAAGCAUUUAUCAAGGAUGUUUUCAUUAA
rnacentral:rRNA from 1 species